rnacentral:rRNA from 1 species
GAUAAACGCUGGCGGCGUGCCUAACACAUGCAAGUCGAACGCCCUUACGCAACGUAAGGGAGGUGGCGGACGGGUGAGGAACACGUGGGUGAUCUGCCUUGAGGUGAGGAAGUACCGGCGAGAAAUCGCCGACAAUACCGCAUACGUUCGCAAGUAACAAAGUCGCAAGACGCCUUGAGGAUGAGCCUGCGUCCGAUUAGCUAGGUU